rnacentral:lncRNA from 1 species
CGAAAAACACUGUAUUAUUAUAAAUUACAAUUUGAAUAUACCAAAAGCUAGCAUUACCUUAACAUAGAUCUUUUAUUAAUAGAGUCAAAAAGAAUACUCUUCGACAAACUCUAUCUCCAUUCUGGUAGCCAGCACACUAUCAAUUAGAUUUUGGCAUAUCCUCCUUGAAGUUUGAUUGCUCAAGCAGAUAAUGUUGAAAGAAGCAUUCUUUGAUCAACUAUCUUCUCAACAUUUUUCAGCCGUAACCAUACCGAUUGUGCUUUGGAAUAAUUUUCUUCUCAAGGUUGAUUGCUCUUUUUUGAAAUAUUCAAGUCUCACUUUUUCUAUUUCUAGGAACAUGCCGUGCACAAAAUCUCCAAUUUCAUCAUAUACACCUAUAAAUAAUAUUGAAUUAUAGACAUUAGUAAGCAUUAAAGUUUAAAUUUCAUAAGUGAUAUGAAAGAUUGGGUUCCAUUAGUCAUUUUUUAUCUAGUUAAUGAAAAUUCGGUAAUCAAGUAAAAUAAAGUUAAGGGAAAAGAUUUAAUUUCUUAUUUUUCAAUAAAAUAUUAGAGCUUGAUGUCCUCCUCGGAUAACCAUGGUCCUUUCCUUACAUUAGCCUUAUCAAGAAAGUUCUCCUUUCUCUCCCCCGUGUAGCUACUAAAUUAGACUUAGAUAAAAACAACAUAAGUUCAACCAAGAAACAUUUAUCAGAUGUGAAAAUAAAUUGAUAUAGGACUUAGAUAAGAAAGCAUUAAAGAAAUUAAUACAUUUAUCAAACUGAUGAUACUUAAUUUAGUGUUGCUUUGUCCCUCUACUUUCCUGAAAUGAUUCAGAUAUAGUAAAAGUGUAUUACUCCAAUUUGUAAGAGGUAUAUUAUCUAUAUUAAUGUAAUUUAAAGAAUGCAAGAGACUGAAAGUGUAGGAUGGUGACUCAUAAAAUUGUACGUGUAGAUAUAUAUGUGUGUGAUUUCAUCUUUCUCAAAUAUAUAUAUUUAAUCUUAUCUGUAAGAGCAAGAAGUAGAUAAUAGCAAAGUUAUAAGUCCUAUGACAACAUUAUUCAUCGGACCUCCAUAUUUAAAAACUACUUAUGUUAUGAAAGGUUUUACUACAAAUUUUUUUGAUACUUGGUUGAGUAUAAAUACUCAUUUUUUAAUUUAAAACAAGUAACAUUCAUAAAACUACAUUAAAAUUUAUUAAACUAUAAUACUGAAACUAUUUUGGAAUAACUAUUUUCAAGAAAUUUAUUAUUUGACUCGCCAAAAAAAUAUACAUGUAUCAAUAUUUUUCUCUAAGUUAUGAUUAGAAGCAUAUAAUCUUGGCGGUCAAAGGAUUCAAUUAUUAUGUGAUGGUUUCAAGUGAUGGUGAUACGGAAUUAACAUCACGUUCGAAUUCUCUUGAAAAGUUAUAUCAAUAGAAUGAACUUACAAUCCGACUUCGGCGGAGAUAGAUAUCGUUAAGGAUUUAGCCGGAAAAUAGAUGGAGGGAAUAGUAGCGACGACAAAGAUCUGACCAUCAAAUUAAAAUGGGGAAAACUGUGAGAAAAAGAUAAUUAAUAAAAAAUAUGACAGUUUGGUAAAUAAGAUCGGCAAGGGGGUAAACCUGUUAGGUUAACAGAGAAGAUCCAAGAUUGAGGAAAAAGUGUCAUCGGCUUCUGACUUUAUAAACAAAGGAAUAAAACGAUGCAACAGUUCAGGAUGGUGAUUGUUAGAAGGAAGACUCUU